UUAAUCCUUAAUCCCAGCAACCUAUUUCUGGUCACAUACACUGCUCUCUCCGCCAUUUUCGUAGCUGGUGUCGCAGAGGUGAUCGGCGUAGUUUUAUGUUUCUCUAAGGUCCGUUUUGAAAGCGAUUGACUUGUUAUUAUCAACGAAGUUAGUCUUCGAUAACACAGUAUAAUUUAGCAAGACACUAAACGGCACAAGAAGAUGUCCACCGAGCAGGCCGAAAAUACUAACGUGGCCGAGAAAGCAGGCCAGCCGCAGCAGCAGCCUGGAGAAGUGAAUGGGAAAGCCAAGCAUGAGUCCAAUGCAAGCAGGAAGGAGAGGCCCAGAAAAGAGGUGGAGGAGGGCGCUACGAACCUUAUGGAAACGUGAACAAAAGAUACCGCGUUUUUGUCAGCAACAUUCCCUAUGAUGUCAAAUGGCAAGCUCUCAAAGACCUGAUGAAAGAGAAAGUGGGUGAGGUAACGUACGUGGAACACUUAAUGGACGCAGAAGGCAAAUCGAGGGGUUGUGCUGUUGUUGAGUUUAGGACUGAAGAGCUAAUGAAGAAAGCAGUGGAGAAGGUCAACAA